GUCAGAGAGCGGAGAUGUGCCCUGCACUGACCCAGGUCCUGACUCCCCACAGGCCUGGGUGACAGCCAUGGUGCAGAGGGACAGCUGGACUGGGCUGAAUGACCUAGAUGGCGACGGCAGCUGGACGUGGGCAGUGGCUCAGCACGCAGAUGGUGCUGCCCCCUGGCUGGCCGAUGUGCCGCUCCUUCCGGGAGGCUGCCUGAGCAUCGGAGCCCCGGGGGAUUCUGGCCUUACCGUGUCCAACUGUUCAGGACUCAAGCCCUGGGUCUGCGAAGGAGCGGAGGUUCCCUGGAGCCGCUGCCCCACGGAGCCUGGCUGGAGACACUGGAAUGGUAACUGCUACUACUGGGACUCGUCCUUGGCCGGCAGCACCUGGCAGGAGGGGCUGCAAGUGUGUCGGCAGUUCCGACAGACAGAGCUGCUGUAUCUGACCUCGCGCCAGGAGAAGGUCGCUGUCUUCACACUGGGCUGCCUAACGUCAGGCAUCCAGAGGCAGAGAUGCUGAGCUUCCCCUGAGCUGCAGGGGCUCAGCGUUGCUGGUGAUCUCUAGGCCCAACUGUUUGAAAUGUGGCGCAGGAGCUGGGGGACCAAAUUUCCCUGUGCUCAAUAUGGGACACCCGGUAAAAUUACUCGUAUUCAAGCGAGUUCAACGGCAAUAGGUCAGAACUGUGCAGUACAAACGUUCAAAUUAACGUCAAGUUGCCUGAGCCCCCGGCAAAAAGAAAUACUGGGUAGGUGGAUUCUUUUUAUUUACCUUCUUAUCUUU
rnacentral:lncRNA from 1 species